UACGUAGGGGGCUAGCGUUGUCCGGAAUCAUUGGGCGUAAAGAGCGUGUAGGCGGUCCGGUAAGUCCGUUGUGAAAGUCAGGGGCUCAACCCUUGAAUGCCGGCGGAUACUGUCGGGCUAGAGUCCGGAAGAGGCGAGUGGAAUUCCCGGUGUAGCGGUGAAAUGCGCAGAUAUCGGGAGGAACACCUAUGGCGAAGGCAGCUCGCUGGGACGGUACUGACGCUCAUGCACGAAAGCGUGGGGAGCAAACAGG
rnacentral:rRNA from 1 species